UACGUAGGGUGCGAGCGUUGUCCGGAAUUAUUGGGCGUAAAGGGCUCGUAGGCGGUUUGUCGCGUCGGGAGUGAAAACGCCGUGCUUAACACGGCGCUUGCUUUCGAUACGGGCAGACUAGAGGUAUUCAGGGGAGAACGGAAUUCCUGGUGUAGCGGUGAAAUGCGCAGAUAUCAGGAGGAACACCGGUGGCGAAGGCGGUUCUCUGGGAAUGACCUGACGCUGAGGAGCGAAAGUGUGGGGAGCAAACAGG
rnacentral:rRNA from 1 species